UUCUCGGCCUUUUGGCUAAGAUCAAGUGUAGUAUCUGUUCUUAUCAGUUUAAUAUCUGUUAUGUGGGCCAUGUGUCCACUUUGAUAUUAAAUUUAUUUUUUGUGGGGUAGGGCCCACUACAGUGGCUUGCCUCUGGGGCUCUCAAGCGUCGCUCAGGCGUUGCACUACUGCCUGAGCCUGGCGCACCCCAACCAAAUCUCAAUUAUAAAAUUUCUAUCGGAUUUGAAUUUAAGUUGCAGCUAACGUGAACUAGAACGCCACUUGGAAUUGGUCCCUUUGUUUGAUUUUGUCUGUACCUAUGCAGUAGCGGCGCGGUGAGCAGCUGGGCGCCGACGAGGAGCACGCUAGUGCAGCUGCGGCGGUUGCGGUUUACAAGGAUGUUCUACAGACCUGGUGGAGUAUAUGAUGAAUUGUCCGCUGGUAAAGAUGCGAGUAGGGCACUGACCAAGAUGUCCUCCGAGCCGCAGGAUCUGACUGGCGAUAUAUCUAGGCUUACACCAUUCCAGCUUGGUUCCUUGAAUGACUGGGAGUACAAGUUCACCAGCUAGUACAUGAAAGUGGGAACCAUAAGAAGAACAACGCCUGCAGAUGAGGGUUACGGUAGCAUUUCACCUGAAAUACGGGAGGAAGCUGCUGCUCCCGAGCCCGAGCCUGUGCCGAACGAAGACGAUGCAUCAUGAAACGCACAAAGACAUCCGAGCUCUGAGGGGAGGAACGAAAUUUAGGGCGGGGCACUGCUGAUGAAUGCUCCAAAGAGAGUCAGAAACCGAAUGUCAGUUCCUAUAUGCUGCAUUCGUCAGGCUUGAUGUCAGUUACUUUCCUGUUCUCCGACUGUCUAGUCUUCGAUUUGGUUGGCUAGUGCUAUAGAUGCUAUGCAGUUUAACUGAUUAGGCUUGACAAAACAAAAACAGGGUUCUUGCUCACUUCUGCAAUUUCACGUCUAACUGUAACACAUGUGCUGUGUGUGGGCUUGAUCUAUGGACAGUGGGUCCCACAUGUAAGUGUGUGAGAGAGGAGGCAUAUAAGCCAGCAUCAUGUACAGAGGAAAAGGGAAUGGAAAAUAAAUUGAAGUCGAGUUUCUCU